rnacentral:rRNA from 1 species
AGUGAACGCUGGCGGCAGGCCUAAUACAUGCAAGUCGAACGGCAGGACAGUAAGCUUUUGCCCUUACGGGUGGCGAGUGGCGUAUGGGUGACGAAUGCAUCGUCUCCUUCUUUUUCGGGGGGGAUUACGUAGGGAAACUUACAAUAACAUAGCAUACUUCCUACCGGUGUUAGCAGGGGUUCUUUGCGGCCUUUUCGUCUGAAUGAGCCGAUGUCGGAUUAGCUUGUUGGCGGGGUAAUGGCCCACCAAGGCGAUGAUACGUAGCUGAACUGAGAGGAUGGUCGGCCACACUGGAACUGAGACACGGUCCAGACUCCUACGGGAGGCAGCAGAAGGGAAUCGUGGACAAUAGGCGCAAGCCUGAUGCAACCACGCCGCGUGAGUGAUGCAGGCCUUCGGGUCGUAAAACCCUUUUGUUGGGGAAGAACAGCAGCCGGAUGAUACGCCGCUAUUCUGACGGUACCCAAUAAAAAAGCACCGGCUAACUACGUG